UUUUAUUCUAUUAGUUGUCAUUAUGUGAGUUUAUUUUAAUUAAAUAUUUUAAUUCGUGUAUUAAUUGUUGUUAGGUAUUAAUUAAUAUUUGUGUAGUUUUAUUUUGGAUUUUACAAAUUCAUUAGAAUUUUUGUUAUUAGAGAUUAAAUGAAGAAAAUGAAAAGAGUUGAAAAAUAAGAAGGCAAAACGGAUUUGGGAAAAAUUUUAGACCAAAACGGCAGGCCCAAACAUUUAAAUGACCCAGUCCAAUACACUUGGUCUCUCAGAAGUCCAAACGACGUCGUUUCGAUGCCUCAAAUCAGAGUCGUUGAUUCAUUUCACUCACACAGUCCAACUCAGGCCCAAUGACCAGCCAAACGAUGCCGUUUAGAUCAAUUGAUCUCAGCCAGCCAUUUAUCUUGAUCCAACGGCUCCAUUCUCACCUUUUAACCCGUAUCACCAGACCCGACCCAUUACCAACUUUUAACCCAGUCUUCUAAUGAAACCAAACGCCCCAUUUUAAUUAAUGAAAUAAUCUAGGACGUCGAUAUCAUUUGAUCGAACGGCCAAGAUCAAGCCAACCCCCUAACUAUAUAUAUCCUAACAUUACCUCGCACCCUUCAGACCCCUCCCCCAUCUCCUCAUAUCUCUCAAACCUCAUCUCUUCAGAGAUGAGGAACCCUAGCCGCCAUGGCUCUCCCACACCAGAAACCCAGCGGCCUGAACUCCGAUGGCUACCAAAGUUACACCCCUGAGCCUCCUGACAACCCUCAUCACGAAUCCAGGCUCCGUUUGCUUCGAUUCUCAACGGAGCGUUUCGAAUAUCAGAUCAAAGAACCAGCCUAAAACCUUACCUCUUCUGAUGGCUUCCAAACUCAUACCCCAACACCCUGACCUCCCUCAUACCCCAAGUGACCUUGGUUCCGUUUGAAUCUGCCCGACGAUAUUCGAAUCCCAAAUCGAACUAGAAAGCCCUAACGAGACAAAACCUUGGUUUUGUCCGAGAUUGAGGAGAAUUUGGGGUUACUAAUCAACCUUAGUCGAGUGUUCUCAGUCGAGAACACUCGAUUAAGGUCCAUCUGACCCCAAAAGUUCGAAUUAGAGUUCAAGCCGAGUCAUCCGUUCAUUCUUUCUUUGAGUUAUUUUUUCGUUUGUUCUAUUUUGUUAUUUGCUAUUUGUUAUUUGUUUAAAUCAUUGUAUUAAUUUUCUGUUCAUUAAUUCUUCCUCCUCCUUCGUACCUUUUUAUGGUCCAGUUUUUCCCUGUAAAUUAGUAUAUGUUAUAGUAUGUUGAGUGCUUUGAAUUAGUCAGUGUCAAUAAGUUCUAAAACAAAACUCUGAUUAAUCCCCUAACUGUUGACUAUUACUCUGUUCGAAUUGUUUCAUCUAUAUUGUCUAUCAUUUUGUCGCCUAGGGAUUCAGUGUAUUUACAAUGUUUACUUGUCAUUUCUUUUUUUAAUUUAGGAAUUAUUAGUUCAUGUCCAUGUAUCCAUAAACUUGGUAGGUCAAUAGGAUUUUAUCACGCUUUAAUUGUCUUUGUUUUAGAGCUAUUUGAUUCAAUUUAAGUUCAAACUUUAACUGAUAUUUGAGCUUAAUGAGGUAAAUUAUGAUCUUCUGUUUUCCUUAGUUGUUCUAGCGAUUGGUUAGGAUUAACUUGGAUUCUCUUAUUAUUAAGGUUUGGUUAUAGUUGUAAAUUAGAGAUUAGUUCUAAAUAAUUAAAGGCUUGGUUCUGUUUGCUGAAAUUCUGAAUAAGAGCAGUAAUAGUAAGAUGCAAUGGUGUUUUAGGAAUAGACAAAAUAGAAAUCUGGUUUGACUAAGUUAGUCUAACCAGUGGGGCCCCUAAUAACUUUAAUUUGAAUUAAUUAGUAGGGGGGCCAUUGAAAAUGAUGAGUGUUGGCUGCUUUUUCUUAAUUGAAAUUAGGAAUACUGUAUAUAAUGAUAAAAGGGGCAUAUAAGAGCAUAUUUGGGGGGGGGGGGCUGUUUAUUAAAGUAUGUGUUAAGUGGAAGAGUAAUGAUGGAAGUGUUGUAAUAAUAAUUAAAGGGGGAAUGGGAAGGGNNNNNNNNNNNNNNNNNNNNNNNNNNNNNNNNNNNNNNNNNNNNNNNNNNNNNNNNNNNNNNNNNNNNNNNNNNNNNNNNNNNNNNNNNNNNNNNNNNNNNNNNNNNNNNNNNNNNNNNNNNNNNNNNNNNNNNNNNNNNNNNNNNNNNNNNNNNNNNNGGGGGGGGGGGGGCUGUUUAUUAAAGUAUGUGUUAAGUGGAAGAGUAAUGAUGGAAGUGUUGUAAUAAUAAUUAAAGGGGUAAUGGGAAGGGUAAUGAUAAAGGUUUGUAGUAAUUACUAAAGGGUAAGGGGAGAGGGUAUGGAUUUUGAAUAAAUAAGGGUCAUUUAGACAAGUUUAGGGGAGGGGAAAGAACUUGAGAUUUUGAGAGAACAAAGACUGAAAAAAUCUGAAAUAGAGAAAAAAAAGAGUUGAGUUCACCUGAAGUACACUUGUUUGACUUAGAGAAGUUUGGGGUCUAAUUAAGUUAGUAUUGAUUGAGGUUUGGUCUGCUGGAAUGGUUAAAUUCAUUGCUGGUAUUAUUUGUUGUUGUUGUUGUGCUGGUUUACAAACUGUUCUGGACUUUGGUCGAGUGUAUUUCUGGUCUUAAAAUUGGGUUCUGAGUUGUUCUAGAUUCCAUUUUGUGCUAUUGGGUUUUUCUAAGUUGUUCCAUUGAGAUAUUGUAAUAUUGUUGGGAUUACUGUUAUUACUUAUCUGCUGCUGCUGACUUACUCUUUUUCUUCCAUUGUAAACAUUUCCAGGUACACACUUCUGAAACCAUAUGUUGAUAUAAGUUUGAAUUUGAACUGAAUUUGAAAUGAAUAGAGAAAUGUUUAGUGGCUUACUUCAUAGUAUCUAUUUUCAAGAUGCAACAGUAGGAUGAAUGAUAGGAAGUUCCUUUUUGUUUAUGCUCAUUCCAAUUGUAUUUACUUUGUAUAAAUUGGAACUCGAACUAAUGUGUACUGUUAAAUGGUAUGUUGUUAGAUUAAUUAGAUGUGUUUCCAUAUGUUUAGCAAUUUUCAUUUUUAGUUUGCAUAGUGGUAUAUUAAGAUAGUUGUUAAGAACUUGUGGCUGCCAUCCAAUAGCUAUUACUUAGAAAUUAACAAGUUUUGUUAACAAUCUUAGUAUACUUUAGUUUGUGGGUUACUAAUGAAGUAAAGUAGGGUAUGAUAAUCGUUAAUUGAUGAAAGUUUUCCCCUAUCCAAUUGAAAAGGAAGAACGUUUAAUAA
rnacentral:lncRNA from 1 species